UCACCGUUGUAACUGGUCUCUUUCCUUGUUCUUCAACGGUUACCAUCUCAGUUACUUGUUGUUCUUUUCCUUUUCGUUUGAUUAUCUUCUUUUUGGUAGUCUUUUUAGGUUUGCCUUCUUUAGUUACCUCUUCAGUGACAGACACUUGUUCUCUGAUCUCCUCAACUUCAGUUGGUGUGAUAUACUCUGGAAGAGCCAGCGGCUUUAUAACUUCCUCUACAACUUCCUCCACAGGUCCUUCAGUCACCGUUGUAACGGGUCUCUUUCCUUGUUCUUCAACGGUUACCAUCUCAGUCACUUGUUGUUCUUUUCCUUUUCGUUUGAUUAUCUUCUUUUUGGUAGUCUUUUUAGGUUUGCCUUCUUUAGUUACCUCUUCAGUGACAGACACUUGUUCUCUGAUCUCCUCAACUUCAGUUGGUUUUAAUCCUUCUGGAACUGGCACUUCUUUUAUUAUUUCUUCUACAACUUCUUCUGUUGGACCUUCAGUUACAGUCGUAACUGGUCUCUUUCCUUGUUCUUCAACGGUUACCAUCUCAGUUACUUGUUGUUCUGUUCCUUUUCGUUUGAUUAUCUUCUUUUUGGUGGUCUUUUUAGGUUUGCCUUCUUUAGUUACUUCUUCAGUGACAGUGACUUGUUCACGUAUCUCUUCCACCUCAGUUGGUGUGAUAUACUCUGGAAGAGCCAGCGGCUUUAUAACUUCCUCUACAACUUCCUCCACAGGUCCUUCAGUCACCGUUGUAACGGGUCUUUUUCCUUGUUCUUCAACGGUUACCAUCUCAGUCACUUGUUGUUCUUUUCCUUUUCGUUUGAUUAUCUUCUUUUUGGUAGUCUUUUUAGGUUUGCCUUCUUUAGUUACUUCUUCAGUGACAGUGACUUGUUCACGUAUCUCUUCCACCUCAGUUGGUGUG